CUCAUUUCCGCUUCCCCUUUUGAGCAGGCAACAGCAGUUGAAUGAGUUCAGGGAGAAAGGCAUAAUCUACAACAUGAUACUUUCUCACUUGCUUCACCUCUGUGCCCACACCUGUGAAGGCCUCGGCCCAGCUUCGACAACUGCUUUGCCUCAAACUCAGCUUUCUACCAGCAGACAGGCCCUACUCUAGUGUCCAUAGCUCCAACCAUUGAGAGUACCUGGCUGAAAUCAACUUUGCUUUCUGUGGGUAUGACCUCUUUCUUCAGAAGCUGUAGAAGAAACUUGUUGAGAUAAACUGCAGCAAGAUAUAUUGAGGUCAGCUACGAGGGAGGAUGUACACACUUGAGUGAGGUAAGGUCAAAUUCACCGGGAGGCUCAAGAUAGAUGGAUAGCCACCAUCAGGACCAGAUUUCAGGGUUCACAUCUCAAAGAUAGAUAGAUGGAUGUGUUGCCUUCUCAGUGACCUACAUAAUAUUGGGGGCUUCAUGCUCCUCCAACACCCCUUGCCCCAGUGGUAGCAGGCAGAGCAUAUCACCACCUACAUGAGUUUUGGGGUAGAUGGAGGAGUGGAAAGAUCCUCCACCCUGGGGUUUUCCCAUGCCCCUUCUGUGCCACUAAGCUCACCAGUGGGUGGAAGAAAAAGGGUGGGUCCCCAGGGCAGGGCAAGGACAAGAAAGGAGAGUUCCACAGAAGUGAUUUGACAAGACUGUGAGCAUUUACAGGAGAUAUCCAGGGAAGUACUAGUGACUCUGUAUACCACAAAUGGUCCUGAGUAGAGAGGUAAGGAGACUUUCUAGAUGGUGCAGGGCAGUACCUAGGAUGGGAGGUUGGAGGUAGGAACCUUCAACUUGUGUGUCCAAGUAUCAGACUCAAUAGUUGUUCAGCUGAGUGAUUAGAGAUAAAGAUCUCACAAUAUUGUCUUGCAGCAUGAAGUGUUAGUAGGAAGAAGGGAAGUCAGGUUUAUUGUCUGUCUCUACUUGGACUAUUAUCAGAAAUAACAAGCUGAAGAUAUAGCAGAAGGGAUAGAAAGCAAUUUAACAUCUGAGUUAUUCGCAUGCACCCCAGGGUGUUUAGAAACCAUUUACAACCACGCUACCAACAUGUUCUCAUAACUCUUGGGUUUUUUGAAAAUUAAGAUGGAACCCUGCGAUUCAGCAUUAUGUAGUGAACAUGAAGCCCCAACCGUCAUUUUCAGUUCAAUGUUUGAUUUGGAUUCUAGUAUGGAGGUCUCGUCUCAGCCAAUGCUGUGACUUACAAGAUUCCUUCUGGGCUACAGUAAGGGGAAAAGAUCACACGUUUAUUUCCACCUGCAAACUGACAACUGUUCUCUUUUCCACCUAAGGCACAAGACCAAAGUGGAUAUUCCAGUACCCACAGUACUGUGUGCCUUACAACACCCAGGCCUGAUGCAGAAUGGCCUAAACACAGAUUUCAGAUUGAGAAAAGAGUUCAGUCAAAUAAGUAGAGGGACGAGGAGAAGAGAGUGUGUAGAUAUUGAAAAAGAAAAGCAGGAAAGAAGAAAAAUGAAUAUAUGCAGGACAGAGCUUAUUACCAAGGAAAUGAAACUGAAGAAUUAAAGAUACGAAUUCACAGAGCUAACACAAUGGUUGAGAAAUCUGCUCAUUCUCCCUACUUUCUCUUGAUGAAGCCAUCUAUAAAUCAGCUCAGAUAAACUGCUGUUUCUUAUUCUUGAUGUCUUUAUUGCCCAUUCAAAUGAAGAUAUUUGAUGUCUCCCUACAUUGAGAACAAGCGAUUAAUUUUUUUUCCAAAUCCACAACUUUAAUAUUUCCUGUAGCAAUUAUACAAGCCUUUCUUAAAAUUCAUAUCCUAAAAGUGGAAGUAAGGAAGAAAGGGAAGGAGAGGAAAAAGGUCUUAGAUGGUCUUCUUUCAGUAUUUAUUCAGCUACGCUUAUUUGUGGGAGAAAGAGUAUGAAAAGGGAGGGGAAUAGGAGUUCUAUUGACUAAUGGGCAUUUUUUCUUUCUGUUAUUUACCAAGUAACAUCUCUCCUUUUCCCCGAACAGAUUGAACUGCUCCUUAGACAAUAGAAGUCUCAGAAUGCUCAAAUAUUAUACUCAGGGAAAUUCUUGUUCUGAUGAUCUUCCAACCUGAGUGACAUGGAAGAGGGUUAGGAGCUAGAAGACAGUUCUAUGAAGGAAUGUGAGAAUUUGUUGCAGAUUGGGGUAUGUCAAAUGGGGGACAAUCCACCUGGGUUGAGGUGGAGUUUGUCCAGUUCAUGAACAGAGAAAUGUUAGCUACUCUGGGAUUUCCCGCAGCUCUGCGAUGGUAAUGAUGUAUAUCUUGGCUGUGGAUGCAGAAGGUCUUAUGGGCCACAUCAUGGAAACCCCAUUUCCUUCUUCUCUCCUCCCACACUGGUUCUCACUCUCAGUCUCAACUCACAGGCACUGCUUGGGGCAUAGGUACAAAACAGACAGAAGAGAAGAGAGGUCUGUCUCAUACAUGUCCCCUAGAGCACUAAAGGCAAACCUGGGACUGGGCCUUGGAAACCAAGUGUGGCAGGAGGAAGGCUGUAUGAUAUAAAGGAAGAAAGCAUGCAUCUGGAACUCAGAACUUGACGGCAUUACUGUUACGGGAGGCCCUGAAGUCUGAGCCAGGGCCAUGGAGGCCUCUGUGCUGAGCCCCACAUCCUGGGAGAAACGGCGGGCCUGGCUCCGUCAGAGCCGUAACUGGCAGACCCAGGUCCUAGAAGAGGAGGCUGCCGCCGCCCUGCAGGAUGUCCCAGAUCCUGAGCCUUCCAGCCUGGAUGACGUUUUCCAAGAAGGGAAUCCAAUCAAUAAAAUUGAAGACUGGCUGCAGGAUUGCGGAUACUCUGAAGAAGGAUUUUCUGAGGAAGCAGGACAGUUUAUCUACAAUGGCUUCUGCAGCCAUGGGACCAGCUUUGAAGAUGACUUGACCCUGGGAGCGGAGGCCACACUACUGGCCGCCAAUGGCAAACUCUUCUCCAGGAGUUUCCUCGAGACAGCCAGGCCUUGCCAGCUACUUGAUCUUGGCUGUAGUUUGGCUUCCAGCAGCAUGACUGGGGGGACCAACAAGACUAGUUCAAGCAUCUCAGAAAUUCUGGACAAAGUGCAAGAAGAUGCAGAAGAUGUCCUCUUCAGUCUGGGCUUUGGCCAAGAGGAUCACAAAGACACUUCUCGGAUACCCGCCCGAUUUUUCACCACCCCCUCUCAGGCCAAGGGCAUUGAUUUCCAGCUCUUCCUGAAGUCCCAGGUGCGGAGGAUUGAAAUGGAAGACCCCUGCCUCAUGCUGGCCAGCAGGUUUAAGCAGGUGCAAACACUGGCUGUCACUGCUGAUGCCUUCUUCUGUCUCUACUCCUAUGUGUCUAAGACACCUGUCCAAAAGUUCACACCAUCCCACAUGUUCUGGAAUUGCAACCAUCCAACUGAUGUGCCAUCCAUCAGGAUUCUGUCCCGAGAGCCUGAACCCCAGUCACCCAGAGACCGCCUUCGGAAAGCCAUCUCCAAGAUGUGUCUGUACACAUGCCCCCGAGACCGGCCACCACCACCCCACAACACCCCCAAAAGGAACAGUUUGGACCAAGUUGUGUUGGAAGUGAUGGACAAAGUGAAAGAAGAGAAGCAGUUCCUCCAGCAAGACUCUGAUUUGGGGCAAUUCUCACAGGAAGAUCCUGUGCCCCCUGCUGAGGGUAAGAAGUUGCCCACUUCUCCCUAUCCAUGUGUCUUCUGCUGUGAAGAGGAAACACAGCAGAGGAUGUCCACAGUGCUAGCACCAUCCCAAACUCUGGAUUCGAACCCCAAGGUACCCUGUUGCACACAUUCUCUGCCCAUAGAAGAUCCACAGUGGAGCACAGACCCAGCUCAGAUAAGGAGAGAGCUGUGUAGUCUACCAGCCACCAAUACGGAAACCCAUCCAGCCAAGGAUGAGACUUUCUGGAAAAGAAAGAGCAGAGCAAGAAAGAGCCUCUUCCAGAAGAAUCUCAUGGGCAGGAAGGUUAAGUCCUUGGACCUGUCCAUCACCCAGCAGAAAUGGAAGCAGAGUGUAGACAGACCAGAACUGCGUCGGUCUUUAAGCCAGCAGCCACAGGACACUUUUGACUUGGAGGAGGUGCAAAGCAACAGUGAGGAGGAGCAGAGUCAGAGUCGCUGGCCCAGCAGACCCAGGCACCCCCACCACCACCAGACUUUUGCUGGCAAAGACUCGUGAAGAGGCCCUCACCAGAUGCAGGCUUUUGACCUUGGAUUUGCCAGCCUCCAGAAUUGCUUUCUCCACCACCACAACAGCAUGUGGUCUGACAGAAUUGGCUUCAAAGAAGAAACUAAAAGCCACCUCUUGCAGGAAACUGCACUGCCCUCAACAUCCAGCCCCUACUCCUUGGUCCUCCAAACCCCCAAACUCUGCAGGAGAAAGGCAGCAUGGUACAUGGGGAGGAAGACCAGACUGAGCGAUUUGGAAUCCACAUCCUAAUGCUGCCACAAGCUGCAUGCACAAAGACCUUAGGCACAUCUCUUCAUUUCUCUGUACACUGGUUUCUCUACUAUGUGUGUAUUAAAAUAUAUAAUGUGGAUGAUAGUAAACUGAACAAAGCCUUAAUUUUCUCCCAAGCUUUGACAUUGCCAAGGGCAGUUAGGAGACUUCAGGAUCAAGUUUAGGGGACAAGUUUUUUUCUAAUACUUUCAAAAGGCCCAAGUGAAGAGAGGAAGGACACCUCACUUUCUGGCUCUAAAAGCAUGGUACAUCUCACACUAGGAUUCCCUCUGCACCUCUGUUCAUCCCUGUAUUCCUAACUAAAUUCCAGAAAAUCUUCUACAACACUGGAGUCCUAUUUUUCUUCUUGAGACCUCCUUUGAAGAAAUCAACUUGGAGACUCCUCCUUAAAUCCAGUUUCUUUCUCUACCCAAAAUUUUGCAUCUUUAUAGAAAAAGAGAUAAGUAGGAUUCAGAGUCUCUUCUCCUAGCCAUUGUGGGGGGAAAAAAUGCUAUUUCUGUUGGCAGAAAACAAUACAAAUAUUUUUUUUAAAUCAUGGCAUGUUUUUAAAGUUAACUAACAGCUGUAGUUUGCUUUGGAAGUUAAAUGUUUUGUCAAUAAACAGGGCUUGAGCACAUGCAGUGCUCUCUUAGGCAGUAUGUGGUUUCAGAGCAUCUUGGACACAUUUCUCCCCUGAGAAAAUAUUAAUAUUAAUAGAAUGGGAGAAGUAAGAUGCACGCAUUUCCAGAAGUAUAUUAUUUGGCUGCCUAAUAAAUUGUGAGACAAAAGAAAAAAAAAAAAAAAACAGGAAGAGAGGGACUUGAGGGAAUUUGAGGGAAAUCAUAACCAAAAGUUUAAAGGAAAAAAUUACACCAGACAUGAUAAGCAGAAGUUGAUUUUGUUCUGGUGCUAUUGCCAGCAUUAGGGGAGAAGGCACAAACUGAGUCUGAUACGUAGUGAGGCAGAGACAAAAGGGCUAGGGUGGAAAAAUUUUUAAACCAUCUGUGUUUACUAAUUCCCCAUACCAAAAGAACAAAAUGAACUUUCUCCUAUUUCAUGAUAAAAGAUAGUUUCACAAUUUGGAAAAAGCCCCCCCACUCCAAGUUUCCUACCCUUCCCACCCACAGAAACCAGGAGACAGGGGAACUAUCUUCCUUGAUGUUAACAUUUCAAAGAGGUGGUUCUCAGGUCCUAGAGAAAGAUAUUCCUGAGUUGUAAAACUGGGAAGAGGCUGGAAGAAGAUUUAGAUCUCAAGAAAUAGAAAGAACUACAGCAAAUUUUCUAAAGCAAAUAUUCUUAAGGGAGGUCAAGGGCCUGAAGUCAGGAAGAAACCUAUUUGGUCAAGCUGAGGGGAAAGUUAAGGCUAUCUUGUCACAAGAGAACAGAAAUAUCUGACAAUAUUUCAUUUAAAGAACUGUAUUAGUCCAUUCUCACACUGCUAUAAAUAAAUACCUGAGACUGGGUAAUUUAUACAGAAAAGAGGUUUAAUUGGCUCACAGUUCCGCAGGCUGUACAGGAAGCAUGGCAACAUCAGUUUCUGGGGAGGCCUCAGGGAGCUUUAACUCAUGGUGGAAAGCAAAGUGGGAGCAGGCAUCUUACAUGGUAUGAGCAGGAGGAACAAAGGAAAGGGGAGGUGCUAACACUUUUAAAUGACCAGAUCUUGUAAGAACUCACUCAUUAUACAGUACCAAGGGGAGAUGGUGCUAAACGAUUAAUGAAAACUCUACCCAGUAAUCCAAUCACCACCCACCAGGCCCCACCUCCAACAAUGGGGAUUACAGUUUGACAUGAGAUUUGGGUGAGGACACAGAUCCAAACUGUCAGGCCUCUGAGCCCAAGCUAAGCCAUCAUAUCCCCUGUGACCUGCAUGUAUACAUCCAGAUGGCCUGAAGCAAGUGGAGAAUCACAAAAGAAGUGAAAAUGGCCUGUUGCUGCCUUAACAGAUGACAUUACUUUGUGAAAUUCCUUCUUCUGGCUCAGAAGCUCCCCCACUGAGCACCUUGUGACCCCCACCCCUGCCUGCCAGAGAAUAAUCCCCUUUGACUGUAAUUUUCCACUACCUACCUAAAUCCUAUAAAACAGCCCCACCCCUAUCUCCCUUUGCUGACUCUCUUUUUGGACUCAGCCUGCCUGCACCCAGGUGAUUAAAAAGCUUUAUUGCUCACACAAA